rnacentral:rRNA from 1 species
GACGAACGCUGGCGGCGUGCUUAACACAUGCAAGUCGAACGGAAAGGCCCUGCUUUUGUGGGGUGCUCGAGUGGCGAACGGGUGAGUAACACGUGAGUAACCUGCCCUUGACUUUGGGAUAACUUCAGGAAACUGGGGCUAAUACCGGAUAGGAGCUCCUGCUGCAUGGUGGGGGUUGAAAAGUUUCGGCGGUUGGGGAUGGACUCGCGGCUUAUCAGCUUGUUGGUGGGGUAGUGGCUUACCAAGGCUUUGACGGGUAGCCGGCCUGCGAGGGUGACCGGCCACAUUGGGACUGAGAUACGGCCCAGACUCCUACGGGAGGCAGCAGUGGGGAAUAUUGCACAAUGGGCGGAAGCCUGAUGCAGCAACGCCGCGUGCGGGAUGACGGCCUUCGGGUUGUAAACCGCUUUCGCCUGUGACGAAGCGUGAGUGACGGUAAUGGGUAAAGAAGCACCGGCUAACUACGUG